GCCGAUUUAGAGUUGGAUUUCGAAGAUGAUGAAGUUGAAGAAAAGAUAGAUUAAGGUAAGAUCUAUCCAUUUUUGUUGGUUUUGUUUGCAUGCAUGAUGUUUUCGUUCUGUUUGAUUAGUUCUUAAGUGUGUAUUCUCUGUUGUUUUAGGCAUAAUUUUAGCACUUGGAGGAGUCAUUUGGAGUCAUUUAGAGCUUGAGGAGUAGGAUUUGCUAAGCGAAGUGAACUACGAAGUUGAAGAUCAAGGGAUGGGCUUUGCAAUACAUGGAAUUUUUUGUGCAUGCACGAUGGUAAUUAGUUAGUCUUUUAGCUCGUCAUUAGCUAUGCGAUGUUAGUGCUUAGAGAUUAGAAAUAAUUUCAGACGACAGAUACAAUAUUUAUAAUAUUUUUUUAGAAGAGUAGGUUGAAGAUGUUGUAUCUAUGUUAGGUGCGUCCAUUAGUAUUGACAUGCGAGAAAUCUUAAUAGGUAAUUAAGAAAAAACGUGUACUGUAAUUGUUCAUUGCAUGUGGUAUGUUUAUUAAUAAGUCUAUAGUUAGGAAGCCAUAGGUCUACUUUGUUAUGUCGCAAUAAUCUAAAUAUUAUAUGUUAAGAUUAUGUGCUAAUAUACUUGAUGAUGUAUGUAAUUAGGUAAAAUAAUUCAUCUUAGUAGCAAACAAGGAGGAGAUGACGUGAUUGAAGAAAUUGUGUUUCCAUCUUCGCUGUCCCUUUUGAGGUGAUGACCACAUACAUGCAAGUGCUAUUUUCAUACUUUUGGUAGCAGAAAGAAAAAUCCGUGUGUAAUAUUGAUGUUCAUGUGAUAAUAGGUUGACUCCGUUCAUAUAGUACUGGUGACGGAAAUUUAUUCAAACUAUUUGGACUCUUAAUUGCAUUUGCAAGCACAUCCAUAUUGGAGCUAAGGUAUAAAAUGACACCUUAAUUUUGUUAAUAUUUUUUAUAUUGAUGUACUGUUGUGAAUAAUGUGCAUGCCGCUGCAAAUAUUAUUAUUUGUAAAUAAAUGGUUGCUAUCGUAUGAUAUGAAAAAAUUAUAUAAAGCCGGAAGAAAUUAAAUGUUUUACUCAUAUGAUAUUAAAAUGUUAUUAUCGUACUAUUAUGUUUAGUGGUUAUUUGGAUAGCGAGUAAUUACCAUCGGUUUUGUCAUAACUUGUUGUAAGAAAAUUAGUUUUUACUAAUAGUCGUUUUUACUCUCGUAGACGAGUUUGAGAAAAAAUAGAUCUUUAAAUACCCGUUAACCAAACAACCCCUUAAAGUCUAAGCAAAUGAUUCUAGAAACAAACCGAAUAUUUGUAAUGAAAAUACGAUUAUUAUUUUAGUCGUAUGAUAUGUAAAUGUUGUCAUCGUUACUAAAUGUUCAGUUACUAAUUAUUUGAAAUGUAAACAUGUAUGGUGGUUAGGUACUAUGGAAAAUUUUAGUAGUGUACUAUGGGAACAUCUUACAAGACGGUCCUUUCGGGGUGGAUGUGUCCUUGUGCGAGUCGGCAAUAGUUGUAGUGAGAGACAUGGUCAACGUGGGUUACGCAGCAGUUAGUAGGUGCAUCCGAGUGGUGUUUGGCCUAGGGAUGCAGGGGAAAAAAUGACAAUGGAGGCAUUCGUUGUUGACGGAGGAAAUGAUGGGACAGUUGCCCGUUGGGGUUUGCAGCCUGUCACAGGUGAUCGGUCGUGGGGGUCGUACAUGAGGUUUGCAAGCAAUCCCAAUAACUCAAUGUAUGGUUAGCCAAUGAUGUAUGUGGAGUUCAUUUCAGUCAUUGAUGUUGCUGGAUGCAGUAGCAGGGGUGGUGAGAUCGAGUUGGCCAUCACAUCAGCCCCUAGUGUCGGCCCAUCAGAACCGACGGGCGGCCAGUCUGUGUAUGACACAGGAUAUUGGUCUGCGGUCGUUGACAUGAGCGAACAUGUGGAGGGAUUGCCGGAGGCGCUAGAUGAUGAUGAUCAUUCUUCUGCGUCUUCGGAGUCAAGCGAAGAAGAUGUUCCUCCUCAGAGGGCGGUCGUGGCAGCACUGCAACCUGGGUUUUUACAGGAUAUGAGCAUCACCAAUGAAUUUCACUCUGCUUCUGGCCUAGGAGCUGGGAGCCUGGAGGUUGGGCAAGUUUUCCUAGACAAGAAGUCUUCUUACCAGGCAAUGAAUAGCUAUGCAAUUGGCAUCCACCGCCAGCAUAGAGUGAAGCAGUCUGAUAAAACGAAGUUGAAGGUCAUAUGCAUCCACACCGCGAAAGGUUGCCGCGGAAGAGUUCUCGCUAGACUGAAGCCUGGGGUAUGUCAGUCAUGGCAUAUCACAAAAAUAGUGGAGCAUACCUGUGAGCAAACUGGGACUCUUUCAAAUCACUGCAAUGUGAUAGCAACAUAUGUGGCACAGAUGAUGGAAACGAUUGUGCAGGGAAGUCUCAACAUUAGUGUUAGGGCUCUAUAAAAAGAUGCAGAGGAUCAAAUUGGCUUCCCUAUCAGCUACAACAAGGCUAGGCAUGCAAAGUAAAAUAUACUCAAGAACUUGUAUGGUACCUAUGAGGAGACCUAUUUUUAUGCCCUCAGAAUGCUUCAUCAGACAGCAAGUGCUAAUAGGGGACUCAAGUUUCGCGGAGAGAACGUCCAAACCCAAUGAAACCGGGUGAGCUAAUCCUGGACCGCUUAUUCUGGGCAUUCGCCCAGACUAUACAAUCCUUUAGGCACUGUCGUCCGGUAUUAUCAGUUGAUGGUACCUUUCUCACUAGAAAGUACAAGGGCCACUACACCACGCACCAGAAUUCCCUACUGGCGUAUGUUGGGAAAGGUCAUUUAUACUGACAUGUAGUCGGUCGGGAAAACUUGCAUCAGACAGUUGGUCGGGAAUUCAAACUUGUGACGUCCAACGGUCGGUCGGGAAUGCUCGUAUAUUUCACGUCUGCUGAUCGGUCGGGAGUAGGGACUAAGGAUGGCAAUUUUACCCAUGGACAUGGAUACCCAUGGAUAUCCGACCCGAAUGGAUAGGUUUUGAAUAUGCUUUUGUGCCCAUGGAUAGCGUUCAAACCCGACCCGAUUCCCCGUGGGUAGGGCAUGGAUCUAAACUUUUACCCAUGGGUAUACCCAAACCCGACCCGGUAGUAUGAUUUAUUGGGCCAAAAUCUGCUAUCCUUACCCCACAGUCACAUAUCCCACUGCAAGUUUCCACUUUGUUAUCUAAAACAUACAAAAAAAAUUGCAUGAUCCCCGUCGUAACUUCUAUUAAUUUACAUUCAAUUUCCACCAUAACAUACUACAACGGCCCUUCCUUUAUUUUUAUCUCCUCAUUAAAUGACUCAUCAUUCUCAUCUUUUAGAAAAAUACUAAAUGAUAUUAGGUUGUUAGUGGACGUUGAUUUUCCAUAAGUUGAUGUUUACCAUAAGUGAAGUAUAACCUGCCACAAGAUGAAGAAUGGAAGAGCUUGUAUUAACAUUAUGUUAUGUCUUAUAUAUAUGUCUUGAGAAGACCCAGCGAAUAUCCAAUGAGUAUGGAUAUCCAUCGGGUUUGGACAUGGACACAAAUUUUCACCCUUGGAUUUUUUCAUGGGUGAGCAAAGACUUUCUUCACGGAUAUGGAUAUGGAUUUGAUAUUGUUCAACCUGAUCCAAAACCGAUUCAUUGCCAUCCUUAAGGAGGACUUCCAUCGAAGCAAUUUUUCCCGACCAACUGUUGGUGGCUAAUUGGGCCGAUCAGUCGCUCACGCGGGAAGGUGAAAAUUGUUGGCGCUGAAAUGAGCCCAGCCCACGAAACAAAGCCACCUCCCCUUUUCCCCUUCUUCCCCCAAAUCCCUCAGAUCUGGAAUCCAGUUUCUACAUCCGUCGCCGCCGCCCAUGGUCGGGCUCUCUCUCCGCCGCACGCGCUGCUCCCCGCAGCCGGCCAGGUGCUCUCCAGCCGGUGAGACCGCCGCAGCCUCUCUCCCCCCACCGGCCUGUCCACCGCCGACCCCACUCCACACAGCCGCCGGUGGAACCCUACUCCAUACUGCCGCCGCCUCCACUGGCAGGAGCUUUCUCCGCUGCCCCCUCCGUCUGCAGGUAUUCUCCCCUCCUAUCUGUUUGCCCUUCCCUUCACCGCCGCUCACCGCACUGCCCUACACGCACAGAUGGUCUUGCCGUUGCCGUCCAAACCCUACCGGCGGUUGCCCUUUUUGUCCGUGCCCAAGCUUAUCUAUCUCCUGGAGGUGCCGCCGGCAAGAAGGUAAUGCUCCAAGAUGCCUCUUCCAAGAUGACGGUGGGUCUUUAGCACCUCUGGUGUUUUUUCGGAGUGAGACAACGAUUUCUCUUCUGAAGAAUUGUUUUUUCCUUUCACAUGUGCAUGCUUAUGUUAUUUGCGGAUGUUGAAAGCUAAUUUAUGCAUGAGCACACCUUCUGCAUAGUUGUUAUGCAUGAGCACACCUUCUGCAUAGUUGUUAUGCAUGAGCACACCUUCUGCAUAGUGGUCAAUUUGGUUGACCUUGAUUGUCAAAAGAAAUUUGCUUAGUGGAUUGUCAUAAGUAACUUGUGUAGUGCUGAAACUUGGAACAUAGAACUUAGCUAUAAAUCUUAACUAUGAUGGUACUUUGGGGAAAAUUGCACAUUGUUACUGAUUUUAGUGACUUAUUUAUUGCUCUGAACCUUGGUUUGUCACCAUAGUUUAGACUCUUGAGUGUUGUUCUGGCUUUGAAAAGUGGGAUCCUAGAGAGGCUAGUCUGUGCAAUAUAUGAAAAUGCUAAUGAUGUCCUGUGAGAAGUUGAGAUCAUGUACAAGAACAAUAAUUAUGUGUGUAGCAAUGAUACAUUCGGAGGCAAAGCAAGACUUGAGAUUCUGGUUCAGUUUCACCUCUUGCCUCUGCACAUAAAUUAAGAUACAAAUUGAGCACAGCACCUUUAGUUCCUAGUUGUCAUCAUAAAAGUACUGAACCUGACAUCUACAAAAAUAUAUUCCUUGCAUAAUCUCUUGCUUUUUCUUGAUGAGCACUAACCAGGAAUACCACUGACCAGCGGGAUUCGAACGAUGUGUGGAUUUCCAAAAAGGUUUUCUUAUAGUGAUAUAUACCGUUUGAUAUUGAUUUCAUGAAUUCCUGCUAACUUUGUUGUUUUCUAUGAAGUUCAGUUCCCGCAACACCUAUUUCGUUUCCUGUGAUCCACAUGUGAGGCAUAGAAAGGGUUCAAUUUUAUAUAGUUUAUGAGAUGAAAGGGGAAGGGACUGUUAGUUAAGAACAAUUGUAUAUUAAAUGACAGUUAAACAUUUGGAUUUAAGCAAUAGAUCAACAGAGCAUUUUUCUGCAGUUUAAUAACGCUAUAAGAUAAAGAUUCUUCUAAAUGGUUGAAAUUAAUUUUUACUUGAAUGAUGUGCUAAAAUCAACCUCUAUACACCCAGGCACCAUUUUUGUACAGAAUAUAUAUGAUGCUUGCUCCGUGAAUGACUAUCUUGUUGCACGCAUGUCUCCGAAUAAAAUGCAAGGGGUUAGAAACACAUGCAGCACUUCGUAAAUGGUUCCUUAUUCCUGAUCUUUUUAUUGCGCACAGAUCUUACAACUUUUUGGUGCACCACUAUUAGAGGUCUGACCUACAGAAGUCUCCACGGUAAAUAAAGUCUGCCGCCUACCUCGCAGCCUGCUCCUUUCAUAGGAAUCAUUGUGUUGUCUUCAUACUUCACAGGUUUUGUGCUAGCCGUGAAAUGUUUUUGGCCACAUAACUUAUUCAACUAGGUACCUCCGCUGCUCUGCGACCACGAGAAGCUCCAUGCCUUGGUGAGGUCGGUCCCUAUUUUUAGGACUAGGUGGUGUGCUAUGAUUCCCGCUUCCUACUGAUUUGUCCACUUUUUCUCUGUCCUACUCCUCUCUUUUGAUUUAAUCCCCUGAAUCUCUAAUCUUUGUUUGUGCAGAUUCUCUCUUACCUAUGCCUACAAGGUGUUUGAUGAAAAUCCAAGCAAGCUGCAAAGAAUAUUCAUCUAUGUAAUAUCUAAGUUCUGUUGUCUCUGCUUAAUAACUUUUGUCUGAAAUUUAGUUGCAUUCAAUGAUUACUUCCUCUCAUGCCAAUGCGGCAAUAUCUCUCAUCUGAAUUCUCAUUUGUCUUUGCCAGUUACAUAGUGCCUUACGUGCUACCUAGAUAUUGGAGUAGCAUAUUAUCUGCGAAAAUGCUUUUCUUUUUUACAGUCAUUUGUAUGCCACAUCUGGUAGCGUUGGUCCUUUCUAAAGGCCAAUAUGAAAGGGCAACUUAUAUAUGUCAAAUCGCAUGGGUACUUUACUUGGUACUUUCAGGUUUUGAUAUUACUCUAUCACUAGAAUUUCCUUUCGAACAUUGCAAUUAGCUUUUAUCAUAGCAUUGUAAGUAUUGAGAAAUUUGUUCAUCAUACCUCCUAGGUAAACUGGAAGUAUUGUACUAGUCAGCAGGAACCGUGUUCCAAUUGCAUCCUGGGGAUUUUCAUCCUUGUUCUAGCUUCAUUUAAUAAUGUUUGAUGUUGCAGAUAUAGAAUAAUGUUUACGCUUACCUCACCAUAUACCAAUUUGGUUGUUUACUAAUGUUGCAUCUGUAACAUGUCCUAUUUUUCCAUAGUUUGUUUGUUAUGGGAAAUUGGUGAUGAUCUGGUAAGGAAAGAAAUCUUCAAGUCUCGGGUUUUUCUACAACCAUUCCCCCAUGGUGGUAACCUCUCCCAGCGAAUCAUAAUGUAAACUGACUCGGAUCAGGUGUAAAUUUAUUCUUUUUUCUGCUGUAAAAAAAAACUUUCCACUGAAGUACACUAAAGUGCAGCAUCCAAUAAACAGACUUAAUGAUAUUCUAUUUGAAUAAUUAAUAUAUCAUGUUCUUGGACUUCUGUCAUGAGUGCCUUAUAGAUGUGCACCAUGCCAUAAGUACAAGCAGCAUGCGUACGUGCAUGGAGUCAUUUAACGCGAGGAAUAGGAGAGAAAAAAGCAGGUCCGCAAUGAAAAGCGGCAUGGCAAGGCACGCGUGUACUUCUAGUGGUUACCUAUACUUGAAUGGAGUGCCUUCUUGUGUAGGUGUUUCGGUACUAGCUUACCUUGCGAAGUAAUAAUUUUCGUCAAUGCUAUGCCUUAUACAAGUUUUAUGCUGCCAUUGUCUUAUUUUGCAGGAAAGGCAUGCAAGAGGGCAAGGAACCCUGAAGCUGGUGGUCCGGGAUCCUUUGUUUAAUGGUGACUGAAUCGUUGGAGAUGCAUUUUACCAUCAUUUUGUAAACCCGCAUUGUGUUUGAGACAAUGAACCAUAUGUUUUCUCUUUAAUUAGUUACAUUAGUUUAUGGGAAAAUUUGGAUGGUCGUUAUGUUAAUAAUGAAUGAACUAUUUAUAUGUGAAAUUAAUUAAUAUUUGUUUUUAUUGUCUGGUUAUGGUUCAUUAUUGUUGGAGGAGUUGCAUGUUAUUGUUAUGAAAUAACUUGAUUGAUAUUCUGUUGGUAAUGCAAAUGUAUGC
rnacentral:lncRNA from 1 species